rnacentral:rRNA from 1 species
UUGCCUACGGGAGGCAGCAGUGAGGAAUAUUGGUCAAUGGGCUUACGCCUGAACCAGCCAAGUCGCGUGAGGGAAGACUGCCCUAUGGAUUGUAAACCUCUUUUGUCAGGGAGCAACGCCGGCUACGGGUAGCCGGACUGAGAGUACCUGAAGAAAAAGCAUCGGCUAACUCCGUGCCAGCAGCCGCGGUAAUACGGAGGAUGCGGGCGUUAUCCGGAUUUAUUGGGUUUAAAGGGUGCGUAGGCGGACUGCCAAGUCACCGGUAAAUUCGCGGGGCUCAACCU